UACGGAGGGUGCAAGCGUUGUUCGGAAUUACUGGGCGUAAAGCGCACGUAGGCGGGUCUGUAUGUCGAUUGUGAAAUCCCCGGGCUUAACCUGGGAAUUGCAGUCGAAACUGCAGAUCUUGAAUGCUUGAGAGGAUGGCGGAAUUCCUGGUGUAGUAGUGAAAUACGUAGAUAUCAGGAAGAACACCCGAGGCGAAGGCGGCUAUCUGGUGAUGCAUUGACGCUGAGGUGCGAAAGCGUGGGGAGCAAACAGG
rnacentral:rRNA from 1 species